rnacentral:rRNA from 1 species
GAUGAACGCUGGCGGCGUGCCUAAUACAUGCAAGUCGAGCGAACAGAUGAGGAGCUUGCUCCUCUGACGUUAGCGGCGGACGGGUGAGUAACACGUGGAUAACCUACCUAUAAGACUGGGAUAACUUCGGGAAACCGGAGCUAAUACCGGAUAAUAUAUUGAACCGCAUGGUUCAAUAGUGAAAGACGGUUUUGCUGUCACUUAUAGAUGGAUCCGCGCCGCAUUAGCUAGUUGGUAAGGUAACGGCUUACCAAGGCAACGAUGCGUAGCCGACCUGAGAGGGUGGUCGGCCACACUGGAACUGAGCCGCGGUCCAGACUCCUACGGGAGGCAGCAGUAGGGAAUCUUCCGCAAUGGGCGAAAGCCUGACGGAGCAACGCCGCGUGAGUGAUGAAGGUCUUCGGAUCGUAAAACUCUGUUAUUAGGGAAGAACAAAUGUGUAAGUAACUAUGCACGUCUUGACGGUACCUAAUCAGAAAGCCACGGCUAACUACGUG